rnacentral:rRNA from 1 species
UUACCGCGGCUGCUGGCACGUAGUUAGCCGGGGCUUCCUCCUAUGGUACCGUCAUUAUCUUCCCAUAGGACAGAGCUUUACGACCCGAAGGCCUUCAUCGCUCACGCGGCGUUGCUGCAUCAGGCUUUCGCCCAUUGUGCAAUAUUCCCCACUGCUGCCUCCCGUAGGAGUCUGGACCGUGUCUCAGUUCCAGUGUGGCCGAUCACCCUCUCAGGUCGGCUACUGAUCGUUGCCUUGGUAGGCCGUUACCCUACCAACUAGCUAAUCCGACAUAGGCUCAUCCGAUAGCGCAAGGUCCGAAGAUCCCCUGCUUUCUCCCGUAGGACGUAUGCGGUAUUAGCCUGGGUUUCCCCAGGUUAUCCCCCACUAUCGGGCAGAUUCCUAUGCAUUACUCACCCGUCCGCCGCUCGACGCCUGGAAGCAAGCUUCCAUCGUUUCCGCUCGACUUGCAUGUGUUAGGCCUGCCGCCAGCGUUCAAUCUGAGCCAUGAUCAAACUC